rnacentral:rRNA from 1 species
UACGUAGGGUGUGAGCGUUGUCCGGAAUUAUUGGGCGUAAAGGGCUCGUAGGCGGUCUGUCACGUCGGGAGUGAAAACACGGGGCUUAACCCCGUGCCUGCUUCCGAUACGGGCAGACUAGAGGUAUGCAGGGGAGAACGGAAUUCCUGGUGUAGCGGUGAAAUGCGCAGAUAUCAGGAGGAACACCGGUGGCGAAGGCGGUUCUCUGGGCAUUACCUGACGCUGAGGAGCGAAAGUGUGGGGAGCGAACAGG